rnacentral:tRNA from 2 species
GUCAGGAUGGCCGAGCGGUCUAAGGCGCCAGACUCAAGGUUUCCCUUGCCUGUAUAGCAGGUCGUGAGCGUUCUGGUCCUCUCUGAGGGCGUGGGUUCGAAUCCCACUUCUGACA